CCUUGGCGUGACGCCUGGCUAGCUGGCCUAAAGUAGGGGACCUCAGGCCUCUGGAACAGACAGUGCACCUGUCUGGGCACCGAUCCUAAACGAAGGUCCUGGACACGCAACUGGACUUACUCGUGAUGAAGUUACAGUCACAUCUCUGGCAAGGAGACAAGAGACCCCUAUCCUCAGAUGGACAACUACUGCCCCCCACUAUAAAUAUGCACCUGUGGGGACUGGAGAGAUGGCUCACUGGUUAAGAGCACUGGCUGCUCUCCCAGAAGACUUGGGUUCAAUUCCUUGCACCCACCUGGAAGCUCACAACCAUCUGUAACCCAGAGGAUCUGCUCUUCUGAUCCCUGCCGGUACCAGCAAGCAGUGCACAGACUACAAGCAAGCAAAACACCCAUACACGUAAAUAUAAAUAAAAUUUAAAUGUGCCUA